rnacentral:rRNA from 1 species
UACGUAGGUGGCGAGCGUUGUCCGGAUUUACUGGGCGUAAAGGGCGUGCAGGCGGUCUGCUAAGUUUGGGGUGAAAGCUCCCGGCUCAACUGGGAGAGGUCCUUGAAUACUGGCAGACUCGAGGGAGGUAGAGGAGAGUGGAAUUCCCGGUGUAGUGGUGAUAUGCGUAGAUAUCGGGAGGAACACCUGUGGCGAAGGCGGCUCUCUGGGCCUUACCUGACGCUGAGACGCGAAAGCGUGGGGAGCGAACCGG